AGGAUAAACGCUGGCGGCGUGCCUAACACAUGCAAGUCGAACGCGCUUUCGGGCUUCGGUGCGAGAGCGAGUGGCGGACGGGUGAGUAACACAUGGGUACCUACCUUGGAGUGAGGGAUACCGGCGAGAAAUCGCCGACAAUACCGCAUAGGCUUCUUCACAAGGGAAGCAAAGUGACGCGAGUCACGCUGUGAGAUGGGCCUGUGGCCGAUUAGCUAGUUGGGGGGGUAACGACUUCCCAAGGCGACGAUCGGUAGCUGGUCUGAGAGGACGAUCAGCCACACUGGGAUUGAGAACGGCCCAGACUCCUACGGGGGCAGCAGUGAGGAAUUUUCCGCAAUGGAGGCAACUCUGACGGAGCAACGCCGCGUGCAGGAGGAAGGUUUUCGGAUCGUAAACUGCUUUUCUCGGGGACGAGCAAGGACGGUACCCGAGGAAGAAGCCCGGCUAACUACGCGCCAGCAGCCGC
rnacentral:rRNA from 1 species